AGACUCUCAACCACUGUGCCACCAGGGAAGCCCCCCUUGUAGACUCUUAAUCUCUGAUUCUCCACGGCACUCCUUCAUACCUCUGCUAACUGGACUUAUUUCAUGUGUUACACAUUUUGGGAGCUGGACGCAGGACCUGUGUGUCGCGUGCACAUUCUAUGGCCUGUGGCCCAAACAAGUCCCCGCUCCUAACCUCCAAAUCCAUUUUUGUUGUUCUGGAAGGUAACCCUUACCUUCUGCUCCACUUGGCUCUUGUCAUAGGACUCAACGGGCCACCUCCAUUUCUACUCAAGCAGCAUUUGAUGAGAUUCCUCGGUGAUGACAGGCAGCUCUCAUCCCCCACUGGGCCAAUUCUACCUGGCAGGAUUGCACUUGCCCACCUUGAUAGGUGGCAGGACAAUUACUGGGCGCCUUCUCGAUUUGCUUCAAAGCUUCCUGUAACCUGGCAGGGAAUGAAAUGCACAGCCUUCCAGCUCAAUGACAUUUAAGGCAACCACUCAUCGGUUCAGGCAGCAAAAGAAAUUGGUACUCAGCGGCUUGCAGUCUGUUUUUCUGGUUAGAGCUAUAAAUGAAAGAAGUGAUUGUGCUGCUGCACGUGUGACACCAACCUGCCCCCUCCCCGAGCAGUCACGUUCCCUUGCUCUCACUCUGGCUUUGCUCUGGUUCCCCUGAGGAACAGGGUGUUCAGGAUUGUACUGGGGGGUUGCCUAGUGCUGUGUGUCUACAUUUGAGUCCUACACGCACAAAUAAAUACAGUAAAUGAAUAUGUGUACAUUUAAAUUGCAUAUUCACCCCUACUGAAUUUGUAAUUCAUUCAUAUGGAAAUAGUUUCCACUAAAUAUUGUAACUCCCCCAAUAUUCUUAUUUAGUCCCUUUUAUUCAAGGGGCUAAGUUGCAUCACUCAAGGGUGACAUUUAAGUGACAGUUACUACAGUGACACAGAGUAAUGACCUUGUGAAAGUGUGGUAUGCUGGUGUGCUUAUCCAGUAAUUUAUAUAUACCAUAAAUACUAGUUGUGAUGUCUGAAGAGAACUCAAAAGGCAAGAAAUCUUUGUUCCCACACAAAUGAUUGUGAAAUAUAACAUUUUUAGAAGGAUGUUUGGAUACGUUUUUGCCCCAUGAUUCCCCCAAAUUCCUUCCCUUCUAAGCAGUAAGUGUUGCAUCCCCCUGCCCCUCACUCAAACAUUAAAAAUAAACAAAAAAAUCCUCUUCCUGCUCUCCCUUCUACCCCCAAGGCCUAUACAGACACAAAGGGUGGGGGGGGGAAGGAAUUUGUCAAAUCAAAAGAUCCUUACCCUCUCUCAAACUAAAUCUGCUUUAAUCAGUAUGCUAGCACAUUCUGUCAAACUCCCCGAGUUUUUAAGCAAUACAUUAUUCCUUCAGUUUGUGCCAAAGCUAAACCUUUGCCAGGCCCCAACUGGCUCUGUGUAGAGGCUGCUGCCAAGUUGACUUCCUUGUCUCAGUCAAGAGGCUGCUGCCCAGCUCUGCUCGAAAUUAAUAAGGCCAAUCAGAAAUGCACAAAGCCUGCCCGGCCAAUCAAUCAUCUCCAGGCGUUUGCCAUCUCCUCUGUGGUCAGAUAAAUCACGUUAGAGCUAUUACACCAAUGACCAUAAAUUAGGGGCCCUGGCGGUCCGUCCCUCCCAAGGACACAGCAGGCUAGGAUGAUUCCAGUGCGGGGGAGGGGAGGGGGCCCGCCGGGCGGCGCGUUAUCUGUGGUUGCAGAAUCCGGGCCCGGCGCGCGGCCUCCCGGAGGACUGGCGUCUGGGCUGCGCCCAGCUGUGGCCCUGGCGCUGCUCAGAGAUGGCCCGAUCCCCCAGGUGCGGGGACUCCAUCUGCGCGGCUCCGCCAGACUAUUUACAGCCGAGGUUCGGCCGGUGAUUGCUGGCAUGGAAAACUCAUUUCUCAGCCCGGUUUUUAUUUACACUCUUAUUAAGGAGCCUUCACUCACGUCUGAAUGGCAGAGAGUGGCCGCGGCGGGAGUUGGCCUUGGGCCAGGCAGCCAGUCUCGGGACGGGUGAGCCCCCUGGGCCGCCCUCGCCGGCGACCUUCCGCCCAGAGCGCGCGGUGGGCCCGGGGACAAAGGUGCCAGAAGCUGGGGCACAAGAACCUCAGCGGCUCACCACCCUGGAAAAGUUCAGUGGUUUUGUCUGGAUUUCCCCCUUGCACUGUUAGCUGGUUCCCCGCCGAGCUCUUUGCAAACGUGGAACGUGAGAAAAUAGGAGAGUGCUGUGCUUUAACCCCCAUCCAAAACCCUAGGUCAAUAUUUCGUCCUCCCCCAGGUCCUUCUGCACCCGCCCAAGCCCUCCCUGCCAGGUGUAGCCCACGCAUCCAGCGGGGAUGGACUCGCAGGAACAACCCCCAGGAGGGAAACUUCUUGGCUGUUCUUUCCGUUGGCACCGCCUAAAACCCGAGCAGACCGGCGCGUGUGCUUGCGCGCCUUCAAGUCCUGAAAACCUGCCAGCAGCCUAGGCACAUCUGGGGCUCCUUACCAUGCAUAUUCAUGCCCGAGAGCAGUAAAACCCAGGUCAGCUGCUUGGAGACAAUGAACUGUGUUCUUAAAGGCUGACCAAGCCCGAGAAUUCAAUAAAAUGACGACAGGGCAAGCCCCUCUCUGUGUCCUGUGCAAAGCGUCAUAAAACUUGAGGCAAUUUUUUCCCCCUAAAAGGGACAGAGGAAACAGGCAGCAGUGUUGCUAGGGGUCAGUUUCUACGGUUUUCCCCUUGGCUCUAGAAAUCAUGAUUUCUACUCCCUUUCCUAGUGCCCUCAAGCUCCGGAAGAGUGGGUAGUGUGUUCAUAUUCCUUUCUUCUGCAUACGAUCCCUCUUGGUUUAACAUGUUCCCCUUCCCUUCCUCUAAUCCUCUUCCCAUCUGAGGGCAUCACUCUUAACCCCUUUCUUCCCAGAAAAGAGUGGAUCCUCUUCUGCCCUCCUGUCGCUUUCCUCAGAAACUCCCCUUUCCAUUUGCCUGGUAGCUCAGGGGCAGUCACUCUCCUGGGCUAGGGUGGCACUGGGAAGAGGACAUCAGACCAUGCCACCCCACAGCCUCCCGCAGGCCUGCAGUCCAGUGAGGGGCACCGUUAUGGGCUGAAUUGUGUCUCCCGAAAAAUCACUUGUUAAUCCAAGGUCACACUACCUCAGAAUGUGACUGUAUUUGGAGAUAGAGCCUUUAAAGAGGUAAUUAAGGUAAAAUGAGGUCACGCGGGUGGGGCCUAGUCCGAUAUGACUGGUGUCCUUAUAGGAGGAAAUGUGGACAAGGAGACGCCAGGGACGCAUGCACACAGGCAAAAGACUACGUGAGGACAGCAAAAAAGGCCAAGCCAAGGAGAGAGGCCUCGGGAGAAACCAAACCUGCCAACACCUUGACGGUGGACCUCUGGCUUCCAGAAUUGUCAAAUGAGCCCAUAAAGAGAGAUGUCAAGAGCUGUAAUGCUGAUACCACUGCAGCAAAUGACUCUCCAUCCCGACACUUCAGGUUUUGUAAUAAAUAGUGCAGCUGGGCACCCUGGUAAAAGAUUUACCUUCUACAUUACUUUUAUUACAGGUCAGUGCUCAAGAAUGUAGGAUGUUUGAAGCACACUUCUAGUUCAAGAGGAAUUUGAACAUAAUUUUGUUCAGUUCUUCCAGACCCUGGGUAUCUCCUCUUCCUCAGCUAUUAAUUAAUUGGCAAGCAUGGAGAGCUGACGCUUACCUGCUGCUCACUUGUUACUGAAAAAUUUAUAGAAAGUUCAGGUAUUGUGCCUAAUAGACCCGGGGUAGCACACUGUUUAUUCUGCUUGUGUAAGGACCUUAUAUUUGACUCUGGUACUCAAUUUCAUCCUGAAAAUAAGUCUUGCCAACGUAAACCUUCAUCAUAAGUGCUAAGGAGAUGCUGGCAUAGAGCUUCAGCUGAGUAAGAGUCAAACUAGAGUGAGAGGGAAAUAAAAUGCCUGUGGCAGAAAUACAUUUUAUAGAAGGUGAUAUUGGUGGGUCAGAUGAUACUGCUUAAUUGGUACAAAGUUCAGGAAUGGAGACUCAUGUGACAGGGCUUUGUUAAAAAUGUUGUCUAAAAAGUAUGUACACGAUGGAGGUUUUGUAACCACUGCUUAUUCUCUUAUGAGAUGUUCCAGAAAACUGUUGUAGGGAGAGGCAGUUGAGUGUAAAAUAGAACCUUGGAUUUGAAAUCCUGGCUUUGGUGCUGCUUGGCUCUGGGUCCUUGGGCAACUACUUAACCUACCUGAACCUUUAUUUCCUCAUCUGGAGAAGUGUUUCUGGAAUGGUAGAAUAAUGACCUCUAAAAAUCCACUACUCCAUAUAAGCAAGGAGAAUACUGGCAAAAAUUGCCAAAAAUCACCUUUUUCAGAGCUCUAGAAACUAAGCAAAGGAUCGCAACAAUCCAAGGAGUGUUUAUUCAAGAACAGCUGAAUCUUGAUAGGAAUAAGGCAGCAUUUUAACUGGACCAAUUUCCUUAUGCUCUCUCCACAUCUGUAGUAGCCUUGAACAACAACAGCCUUGCAACUACUAUCUACCUCUGAGAUCCAGCAGACUAGCAGAUUUGGGUUUGCAGAUUAGGGGUAGAUAGGGUUUGUAGCUCCCCCAAAAGCCCCAGCCCCAGAGAACUGUCACUCUUUGAAUCUCACUCUCUGGAAAGGCCGCAUUCUCAGGGCUUGUCUUAACUUGACCAGCUCUGUAUGAACAACUCUAUCCCCAAGGUGUUAGUUGAAAAGAAUCAGCAAAAAUUGUUUAACAUCAUAGCUAUCUAAGGCAGUCAUACCAAUUGAGGUUAACAAGAAGCUGACCAAAAAACCUGAAAAAGGAAAAAACUGGUGAAGAUGUCCAUAGAGAGCUUUGGAAAGCUACAGCGUAUUACUGAAGACCUAAAAGUCCUUGCACAUGUGCAGGGCAGUGUGCAUGCCCAGGAGAGACCUGCCUGACCUUAAAGCUCUGCAAAAGCAGGAAGGAAGUGAAGGCCAAGGUAGAGUUGUGAAUUGCUUUCCACAGCAUUGAAGGUGUGCUCCAAAUUUGAUGAAAAACAUUAAUCUACAUAUCCAAGAGGCUCAGUGAACUCCAAGUAAGAUAAGCUCAAAGAGAUCAUACCUAGACACAUCACAGUCAAUCUCUUGAAAGCAUCAAGAAAAAAGUAACUCAUCACAUGCAAGGGAUCUUCAAUAAGAUUAAUGUCCCAAAUUAAACCAUGGAGGCUAGAAGGUGGUGGGAUGAUAUAUUUAAAGUGCUGAAAGGUAAAAAAAACCAAACAAGACAACAAACCUGUCAGAUAAGAAUUUGAUAUCUAGCAAAAUUAUCCUUCAGAAAAUGAAGGAGAAAUUAAGACAUUCCCAGAUCAACAACUGAAUUUGUCCCAAGCAGACAUGUUUUACAAGAAAUACUAAAAAUAAUCCUUCGGGCUGAAAUGAAAGGAUACUAGAUGGUAACUGGAACCCAUAGGAAGAAAUAAAGACUAUAUAUGGGAAUUAUAAAAGACUGUAUAAAUGUACUUUUGUUUAUAACUCUUUCGUUCUAUAUAAUUUAAGAGACAAUGCAUCAAACAAUGAUUAUUAAACUUUUGAUAGGCUUAUAUUGUAUAGAGAUGUAAUUUGCAUGAUAAAUAAUAGCACAAAGGAAGAGGAAAGGAAGUGUUUACUGGGGCAAAGUUUUUGUAUACUAUUGAAAUUAAUUUGGCAUUAUACAAACUAGGUUGUUUUAAGUUAAGAUGCUAAUUGUAAUCUCCAGGGAAACCACUAAGAAAAUAACUUUAAGAAUUUAGUAAAGAAACAAGGGAAUUAAAAUGGUGUACUAGAAAUUAUUUAAAAGAGGGCAGUAAUGGAAGAAUAGGGAAACAGAAAAGAUAAGACACACAGAAGACAAAUAAUAAAGUGGUAAACAUAAGUCCUACAUUAUCAAUAGUUACAUUAAAGGUAUAUGGACUAAACAUUUCUUUCAAAAGGUGGAAACUGCCAGAAUGAAUUUAAAAAUAUGAUCUAACUGUAUUCUAAGAGACACCUUAGAUUUAAAAAUACAAAAUGGCUCAUAAUGAAAGAAUGGAAAAAGAUACACCAAGCAAAAAACAACCAGUUAAGAGCUAGAGUGGCUAUACAAAUAACAACCAAAAUAGACUUUUUUUUUCUGUACUUAAGGGAUCUUGUUUUAUUUGAUUAGAGAAUGUCUUUAAAAUCAUAUGCACUUUGUCAGUGCGUUUCUAGGAAUGUCUGGCAUGUUUAUCGGUCAAAUGCCUUGCAGAUGGAAAUGAAAUUUUGUGAGGAAUCUUCUGGAUCAAAUACGGAUCUAUUUUUACUUUAAUAAAACUAUUCAAAGCAUAAAUAAAAUAGACUUUAAGAUAAAAAUUGUUACUGGAGACAAAAAAGGACAUUUUAUGAUGAUAAAAGGGUUAAUCCAUCAGAAAAGGUUAACAAAUAUAAACAUAUAUGCACCUAACAACAGAGUCCCAAAAGACACAGAGAAAAAAAAUGAACUGAAGAGAGAAACAGACAAUUCAACAAUAAUAGUUGGAGACUUUAAAUACCUCACUUUCAAUAAUGGGUAGAACAACUAGGCAGAAGAUCAACAAUGAAAUAGAAGACUUAACUGAUUAGAUCUAAUAGACAACUACAGAACACUCUAUCCAACAGCAGAAUACACAUUCUUCUCAUGUUCAAAGGGAACAUUCUCCAGGAUAGAGUAUAUGAUAGGCAAUAAAACAAACCUCAGUAAAUUUAAAAGGACUGAAAUCAUACAAAGUAGGCUCUCUGAUCACAAUGGAAUGAAAUUAUUUGCUCAUUUAUAAAAUGUGACAAUAUUUACGUGUGAAGAAGAUAAAAGAACCCAGAUCUCAAGUGCCCAGCAAAGGGCCUAAUAAAUAUAUAAUACAUAAUAACACAUAACAAGACCAUAAUGCAUGCAUGUUUUUCUUUGCCUCAUUGCUGGAGUGUGGUAAAUGAUGGGUUAACAUCCUCCUUGAAAAUCAAAAAAAAAAAAAAAAUUUUAACUGCUUUGAGUUGGUGGCAGAAUAUAACCGAUGGUGUCUUAGUACUGAGGAAAUACAGUAUCACAACCCUGAUGCAUCCGCCACCAUUGUGGCAAAAAGCUGAAUAUAAGACUAUCUUAGCAAUUAAAAAAAAGGCAAAUUUAUAAAUUAUUUUGUUUGUAACCCAAUAAAACAAGGUAAAUGAUUACUCAUCUGUUUUUUCUUAAUUAGAGGCCACUAGUGUAUACUAAUGUAUUUGACUUUUUCAUUCAUUUCACAACAGAGAGGCAAGAUCAGGCCGUAUUUUCAUGAAUUAAUACUUCUGAUCAAGAUAUUAAGCUUGACUUUUUACCAUUUUAGAACAGAUCCUAGCUCCGAUACAAAGCAGAUUUUAGUGACAGAGUCUAAAUGACCCCUGAAGCCUAAAUAUUUACUGUCUGUCUCUUUAUAGAAAAAGUUUGCUGAACCCUAACCGAAGAAUUGAAUCAUUCUUGGGUGGACCUGGUAGAUGAUAUUCCAUGAAAGACACUGAAAAAACAUGCAUCAUCCUUUUAUUUCCAAGUUUGCAUAACUUUCUCCAACUGUUUUUAUCUGUGUGCCCUCAACUCCUCCUCACUUAAUGUUUGAGGCAAUUCCCAGGAUGAGUUCGACCUGGAUGGGAUUGGCCACAUGACCUCAGAGCGUCUGACUGCAAAUGAAUCAAGGGACAUUGAAAUAUGACAGAUAUGUUGGCUGUUCCUCCUACCCCAAAAGAAGCUGGUUGUUGCGGCUAAUCCAGCUGCAGUAAUGCCAUGAGAAGCCAAAACCACAUGGAGAGGCUGUGUGUAGCUGCCUCGACUCAACACUCAGCUGACAGCCCACAUCAACUGCCAACCAUGUGAGCGAGCCGUUUCGGACUUGCAGCCCAUCUAGCCUUCAGAUGACUCCAGCCCCAACUGAUAGCCAACUGUGACCACGUGAGAAGCACCCAGCUGAGCCCAUUCAACCCGCAGAAGUAUGAAAGAUAAUAAUAAAUUCUCCUGUUAAGCCUCUAAGUUGUUCUGUAGUCAACAGAGGCACAAAGGCAUUGUAUUGUGAUGGGACCCUCUCCCUAUAGGAUUGGUGAGAAGGGACAUGGGACAGCGAGCCCGCUGGAGUUUUCUCCUUGGUCCCUACUUGUCCAUAAGCAGCACCUGUCCCUCUGUUCCUGUCCUCCGGCAGGUAAAUACCAGGAAAACCUCCCUUGGCGGGGUGGGGAGAUGAGAGCCAGUCCAGGAGGCAAGUUUAAUUUGAGGGCUGGAGGUGAGGAAUAAAACGUCCAUUUUGGUCUUAGAUCCAAACCGCGGUUUCCAGUCUAACUUCAUCCUCGCUAUAAAGUUAUUUUCAUCCCAGACUCCUGUGUCUGUUUUUUAAAUUGGUUCAGAAAACUCAGAGGGAAAAAGGAUAAAAUUAUUUUUCCUCUUCAGACCCCAACAAGCAACCUUCUUCCUUUCUCACAGGCUAGAGGGCAAAGUUUAAUUUUUUAAAAAUUUCACCCUGCUUCAUCCUCUAAAACUCAAGUGUGCCCUCAGUUCUUGUUAUGUGGUUUUGUGAAAUGCCUCUCCCGUGUGCCUCCUUUUGGCUUUCCUGGUCCCUGCCCCAGCUCAGAGCCUCACUGCCACAUGGUUUCACUUCUACGGCGGCCUCCCGGUCUGCACCUUCCUACCUCUGCACCCCCCAUCCACGUGCUGUUACAAGCUAAGACUUCCACCGCCACAUUCACUUAUCAUGCUGAUCCCCUUGCUGAAGACCUGAUCUGCCGCCUCGGGUCCAGUUCUAGGCCCUCCAUGAUAAUUCGCUUGAUUAUAGCUAAUAGCCCUUCAAGCUAAUCUUCCAAACAUUCUGUAAGGCAAAUUUUACUUCACACCAGACUCAUUACUGCUUCCUUCUUUUAUCUUGUCCUCCCUCUUCAGAUUAGAUGGUGUUCGCGCUCUCCCUUCUCUGAAUUCCCCUAGUCCCUUAGGAAGCAGGACUCACAGGGUUUAUGGCUGAUUAUUCUUUGGCCUUCCAAGUGCCCAAAAUUCUAAUUGCUUGAGGACAUGUUCCCCAGCGUGCUCCUCGAUAAACACUAUUGGACUCAUGUUUACUCUCUGUGUAAACAGCCAGUGAGAUUUUGUGGUCUUGAUGGAAUAAACGAUCUAAUGUUUAUUA